GGGGCCAUAGCUCAGUUGGUAGAGCGCGUCGUUCGCAAUGACGAGGUCAGGGGUUCGACUCCCCUUGGCUCCA
rnacentral:tRNA from 2 species